rnacentral:rRNA from 1 species
CCUACGGGAGGCAGCAGUGGGGAAUAUUGGACAAUGGGGGGAACCCUGAUCCAGCGACGCCGCGUGAGUGAAGAAGUAUUUCGGUAUGUAAAGCUCUAUCAGCAGGGAAGAAAGGAAUGACGGUACCUGCCUAAGAAGCCUCGGCUAACUACGUGCCAAGAGCCGCGGUAAUACGUCGGGGGCAAGCGUGAUCCGGAUUUACUGGUUGUAAAGGGUGCGUAGGCGGCGAUGCACGUCUGAAGGGAAAGGCCGGGGCCCAACCCCCGGAGUGGUUUGGAAACUGUAUGGCUGGAGUGCAGGAGAGGUAAGUGGAAUUCCUGGUGUAGCGGUGAAAUGCGUAGAUAUUAGGAGGAACACCAGUGGCGAAGGCGGCUUACUGGACUGUAACUGACGUUGAGGCUCGAAAGCGUGGGGAGCAAACAGGAUUAGAUACCCUUGUAGUC